UUUAUGGAGAGUUUGAUCCUGGCUCAGGACGAACGCUGGCGGCGUGCUUAACACAUGCAAGUCGAACGGAAAGGCCUAGCUUGCUAGGUACUCGAGUGGCGAACGGG
rnacentral:rRNA from 3 species